AGACAUAUCACGUUUAAACACCGGUUUUUCGUACGACCACCGAAGUUAUGCAACGUCGCGCCUGGUCAGUACCUAGAUGGGUGACCACUUGGGAAUACCUGGUUCCGCAU